GCAACCUGAAGCUGGCGCGCGAAAACCGCACCGUGUUUCUGAGCCUGCUCGGCAUAUCGUGGCUGUGGUUCGUCGGCGCGACUUUUCUGUCGUCGUUUUUCAGCUUUGCGAAAAACGUGCUG
rfam:Paraburkholderia terricola strain LMG 20594 genome assembly, contig: Ga0075244_1019